rnacentral:rRNA from 1 species
UCCAGACUCCUACGGGAGGCAGCAGUGGGGGAUAUUGCACAAUGGGGGGAACCCUGAUGCAGCGACGCCGCGUGGGUGAAGGAGUGCUUCGGCAUGUAAAGCCCUAUCGGCAGGGAAGAAGCAAGACGGUACCUGAAGAAGAAGCCCCGGCUAACUACGUGCCAGCAGCCGCGGUAAUACGGAGGGGGCAAGCGUUAUCCGGAUUUACUGGGUGUAAAGGGGGCGCAGACGGCGAUGCAAGCCAGGAGUGAAAGCCCGGGGCCCAACCCCGGGACUGCUCUUGGAACUGCGUGGCUGGAGUGCAGGAGGGGCAGGCGGAAUUCCUGGUGUAGCGGUGAAAUGCGUAGAUAUUAGGAAGAACACCAGUGGCGAAGGCGGCUUUCUGGACUGAAACUGACGCUGAGGCACGAAAGCGUGGGGAGCGAACAGGAUUAGAUACCCCCGUA